GAUGAACGCCGGCGGCGUGCUUAACACAUGCAAGUCGAACGAACAGACUCCUGGUUUCCGCGGUACUCGAUUGGCGAACGGGUGAGUGUAACGUGUGGAAUCUCCCCUUCACUUCGUGGUAUGCCUGGGGAACUGGGGCUAUUACCGGGGAUGACGAUUGGAUCGAUGCCGUUCUAGAGAGAAUUACGGUUUGGCAGUAACUCACAGCCUGUUCCCCGACGCAUUAGCUAAUUGGUAAGGUAACCGCCUACCAAGGCGACGAUGCGUAGCCGACCUGAGAGGGUGAUCGGCCACACUGGAACUGAGACACGGUCCAGACUCCUACGGGAGGCAGCAGUAGGGAAUCUUCCGCAAUGGGCGAAAGCCUGACGGAGCAACGCCGCGUGAGUGAUGAAGGUCUUCGGAUCGUAAAACUCUGUUAUUAGGGAAGAACAAAUGUGUAAGUAACUAUGCACGUCUUGACGGUACCUAAUCAGAAAGCCACGGCUAACUACGUG
rnacentral:rRNA from 1 species